rnacentral:rRNA from 1 species
GACGAACGCUGGCGGCGUGCUUAACACAUGCAAGUCGAACGGAAAGGCCCUGCUUGCAGGGUGCUCGAGUGGCGAACGGGUGAGUAACACGUGGGUGAUCUGCCCCUUACUUUGGGAUAAGCCUUGGAAACUGGGUCUAAUACUGGAUAGGACCAUGCUGUAGGUGGUGUGGUGGAAAGAUUAGUUUCGGUAAGGGAUGAGCUCGCGGCCUAUCAGCUUGUUGGUGGGGUAAUGGCCUACCAAGGCGUCGACGGGUAGCCGGCCUGAGAGGGUGGACGGCCACAUUGGGACUGAGACACGGCCCAGACGCCUACGGGAGGCAGCAGUGGGGAAUAGUGUACAAUGGGAGCAAGCCUGAUGCAGCGACGCCGCGUGGGGGAUGACGGCCUUCGGGUUGUAAACUCCUUUCAGCCAUGACGAAGCCCUUGUGGUGACGGUAGUGGUAGAAGAAGCACCGGCUAACUACGUG